rnacentral:rRNA from 1 species
ACCCAAGCUACUAAGAGCCAACGGUGGAUGCCUUGGCACUGACUACCGAUGAAGGUCGUGAGAGGCUGCGAUAAGCCGCGGGGAGCUGCCUACUAAGCUUCGAUCCGCGGAUGACCGAAUGGGGAAACCCGGCACUCGUAAUGGAGUGUCACUGCCGUCUGAACACAUAGGGCGGCUAGAGGGAACCGGGUGAACUGAAACAUCUAAGUAACCCGAGGAAAAGAAAGCAACAGCGACUCCCUGAGUAGCGGCGAGCGAAACGGGAAGAGCCUAAACUCAGGUGGUGGAAAGCCUGGCGGCGUUGCCACCUGAGGGUUGUGGGAACCGAUUGGGAGAGCGCCAGAUCUCCCGCAGAGUCACAAAGACAGUGGGUAGUGGAAUCGCUCUGGAAAGGCGAGCCACAGAGGGUAAUGGCCCCGUACACGAAACUCAUCUGUCCUCUGAUCGGAUCUCCCGAGUAGCGCCGGAUCCGGGAAAGCCGGCGUGAAUCUACGAGGACCACCUCGUAAGGCUAAGUAUAAGUCAGUGACCGAUAGUGAACUAGUACCGUGAGGGAAAGGUGAAAAGCACCCCGGGAGGGGAGUGAAAUAGUACCUGAAACCGUUGGUUUACAAGCAGUCAGAGUGUCGCCGCCACAACCAUCUUCGGAUGACCUUGGCGGUCACGAUGGCGUGCCUUUUGAAGAAUGAGCCUGCGAGUUACGGUGUGUGGCAAGGUUAACCCGUGAGGGGAAGCCGGAGCGAAAGCGAGUCUGAACAGGGCGUUCAGUCGCAUGCUGUAGACCCGAAGCCGAGUGAUCUAGCCAUGGGCAGUGUGAAGCGGGGGUAAGACCCCGUGGAGGCGCGAACCCACUUCGGUUGAAAACGGAGGGGAUGACCUGUGGUUAGGGGUGAAAGGCCAAUCAAACUCGGUGAUAGCUGGUUCUCCGCGAAAUGUAUUUAGGUGCAGCGUCGCAUGUUCAGCCGUGGAGGUAGAGCACUGGAUGGGCUAGGGGCCCCACAAGGUUACUGACCCCAACCAAACUCCGAAUGCCACGGUUCCAGAGUGCGGCAGUGAGUCCUCGGGGGAUGAGCUUCGAUGGACAAAAGGGAAACAGCCCAGACCGCCAGUUAAGGCCCCUAAUUCUGUACUAAGUGGUAAACGAUGUGGGAUUGCCCAGACAGCCAGGAGGUUGGCUUAGAAGCAGCCACCCUUGAAAGAGUGCGUAACAGCUCACUGGUCGAGUGGCCCUGCGCGGACAAUGUAACGGGGCUUAAGUACAGAGCCGAAACUGCGGAUGUCUGCUUCGGCAGGCAUGGUAGCGGAGCGUCGAUCUCGGGGUGAAGCGCCGGUGUGAACCGUCGUGGACCGUGGUCGAGUGCGAAUGCAGGUAUGAGUAGCGAGAGAGGGGUGAGAAACCCCUCCACCGGAAGUCCAAGGGUUCCUGGGGAAGGCUAAUCCUCCCAGGGUAAGUCGGGAGCUAAGGCGAGGCCGACAGGCGUAGUCGAUGCACAACCGGUUGAUAUUCCGGUACCACCAAGUGCGCGCCCAUGCAAAAGCGAGAUUGCUAAGAGGAUGCCUGGCGCCCCACGAAGGGGCAAUAGGUCGAAUCGACCCAUCUCGUGGCUGCAAGCAAUGCGGGGACACAGGAAGGUAGGUGAGCCCAGGCGAUGGUAGUCCUGGGGUAAGCGUGUAAGAGGAGGACCAGGCAAGUCCGGGCCUCACGAACUCUGAGACGCGAAGCCGAGCCGAUACAGGUGAAGUCACUGAUCCUAUGCUGUCAAGAAAAGCCGCUAGCGAGCUCACUCGGUGCCCGUACCCCAAACCAACUCAGGUGGACAGGUAGAGAAUACCAAGGUGAUUGGGUGAACUAUGGUUAAGGAACUCGGCAAAUUGCGUCCGUAACCUCGGGAGAAGGACGACUCCAAUAGGGUGACGGCCCUCAGCGGCCCGAGCUCGAAGGAGUGGCACAGACCAGGGGGAAGCGACUGUUUACUAAAAACACAGCAGCGUGCGAAGCCGCAAGGCGAUGUAUACGCUGUGACGCCUGCCCGGUGCUGGAAGGUUACGGGGAAAGGUUAGCCCUAGGGCGAAGCUUUGAACCUAAGCCCCAGUAAACGGCGGCCGUAACUAUAACGGUCCUAAGGUAGCGAAAUUCCUUGUCGGGUAAGUUCCGACCUGCACGAAUGGCGUAACGACUUCCCUACUGUCUCAACCAUAGACCCAGCGAAAUUGAAGUACGAGUAAAGAUGCUCGUUAG